UCCAAAUUGGUGUAACGGCUAACAUUUGACGUUCCGAAAGUUGACGAACAUCGGAACUGUUAAGCUCAGGGUUCGAUUCCCUGAUUUGGAG
rnacentral:tRNA from 1 species